UUGGCCUAGUGGUCAAGGCCUAGGACUUGGGCUUUUAAGGCCUUAGGUUCGAAACCUCGCAGAACAU